rnacentral:rRNA from 1 species
UGAGGAAUAUUGCACAAUGGGGGCAACCCUGAUGCAGCAACGCCGCGUGGAGGAUGAAGGCCUUCGGGUCGUAAACUCCUUUUCUGGGGGAAGAGGAAGGACGGUACCCCAGGAAUAAGUCACGGCUAACUACGUGCCAGCAGCCGCGGUAAUACGUAGGUGGCAAGCGUUAUCCGGAAUUACUGGGCGUAAAGCGCGCGCAGGCGGCCUGAUAAGUCCGACGUGAAAGCUCCUGGCUUAACUGGGAGAG